rnacentral:lncRNA from 1 species
CCGUCGUGGUCGGCGUCGGCGGCGGCGAUCAUGGCCGCGAUGUCGUCGUCGUCGAAGGGCUCGUGGGCGCCGGCUUUGGCGUAGAAGGACUUGAGGUCCUCGCGGCUGAUGCGGCCGUCGUGGUCCGCGUCGAGCACGUCGAACGCCGGGCGCAGGUCCGCCGCGCCGGCGCCGGCGGGGAUAUCAAGGCCCGCGUACCUGCCGCCGGGGCACAUGCUUGUUUGAUUGCUCCGGCGCGAGAAUGGAAAGGAAAGCUCGGGAGUAGAUCGGAACUGGUUGCUCCGGCGCGAGAAGGGAAUGGAAAGCUCGGG